rnacentral:rRNA from 1 species
UUGACCUCGGAUCAGGUAGGGAUACCCGCUGAACUUAAGCAUAUCAAUAAGCGGAGGAAAAGAAACCAACAGGGAUUGCUCUAGUAACGGCGAGUGAAGCAGCAAUAGCUCAAAUUUGAAAUCUGGCGUCUUCGGCGUCCGAGUUGUAAUUUGUAGAGGAUGCUUCUGGGCAGCCACCGACCUAAGUUCCUUGGAACAGGACGUCAUAGAGGGUGAGAAUCCCGUAUGCGGUCGGAAAGGCACCCUACACGUAGCUCCUUCGACGAGUCGAGUUGUUUGGGAAUGCAGCUCUAAAUGGGAGGUAAAUUUCUUCUAAAGCUAAAUAUUGGCCAGAGACCGAUAGCGCACAAGUAGAGUGAUCGAAAGAUGAAAAGCACUUUGGAAAGAGAGUUAAAAAGCACGUGAAAUUGUUGAAAGGGAAGGGAUUGCAACCAGACUUGCUCGCGGUGUUCCGCCGGUCUUCUGACCGGUCUACUCGCCGCGUUGCAGGCCAGCAUCGUCUGGUGCCGCUGGAUAAGACUUGAGGAAUGUAGCUCCCUCGGGAGUGUUAUAGCCUCUUGUGAUGCAGCGAGCGCCGGGCGAGGUCCGCGCUUCGGCUAGGAUGCUG